CUCCUGCGAGAGUCAAACUUCUACUACGAACGGUCUACUCCGAACUCCUACAGCGGGCUGUCUAUCCUAGACGUCGACUGUAAGCAAAUUCUGACUCAAGCCUCUACUAUAAACAAAUUUCUUCCGAAUUUCUACUACAGGUAGACUUCAACCGAGCUACCCCAUAGUAAGUGGGCUCUGGACGAGCUUCUACAAUGGGACACUACUCUGAGCUUCCGCGAUAACUGGUCCUCGCCCGAGCUCCUACAAUAAGCGGCCCCUUUUCGACCUCUCACGA
rnacentral:lncRNA from 1 species